AUUGAACGCUGGCGGCAUGCCUUACACAUGCAAGUCGAACGGCAGCACGGGGCAACCUGGUGGCGAGUGGCGAACGGGUGAGUAAUGCAUCGGAACGUGCCAUUGAGUGGGGGAUAACGUAGCGAAAGUUGCGCUAAUACCGCAUAUUCUGUGAGCAGGAAAGCAGGGGGACCGCAAGGCCUUGCGCUCUUUGAGCGGCCGAUGUCAGAUUAGCUAGUUGGUGAGGUAACGGCUUACCAAGGCGACGAUCUGUAGCGGGUCUGAGAGGAUGAUCCGCCACACUGGAACUGAGACACGGUCCAGACUCCUACGGAGGCAGCAGUGGGGAAUUUUGGACAAUGGCGCAAGCCUGAUCCAGCCAUGCCGCGUGAGUGAAGAAGGCCUCGG
rnacentral:rRNA from 1 species